GACGAACGUUGGCGGCGUGCUUAAUACAUGCAAUUCAACUGAAGCAGUGGUAGCAAUAUCGCUGUGGAGGUGGCGCACGGGUGAGUAACACGUAGGUAAUCUGCCUUCAGGUCUGGCAUAACUCCGGGAAACCGGGGCUAAUAGCAGAUGAUGCAGCGGCUCGACAUCGAGACAGUUGUUAAAGCUAUGGCGCCUGAAGAUGAGCCUGCGUCUGAUUAGCUAGUUGGCGGGGUAACGGCCCACCAAGGCAACGAUCAGUAGCUGGUCUGAGAGGAUGAUCAGCCACACUGGAACUGAGACACGGUCCAGACUCAUACGGGAGGCAGCAGUAAGGAAUAUUGCUCAAUGGGAGAAAUCCUGAAGCAGCAACGCCGCGUGAGGGACGAAGGGCUUUUGCUUGUAAACCUCUGUAGUGAGAGAAAAAAAUCCCAAUCUUUGGGACAUGAUGGUAUCUCAAAAGUAAGCCCCGGCUAACUACGUG
rnacentral:rRNA from 1 species